AAAGCAUAGAUGAUGAGCAAGAAGAGAGAGAGAGAAUAAGAAUGGAUGCGAAAGGAAUGGAAGAGGAAGAAGAAAGGAGAGAGAAGGUAAAAGAGGAGUGAUAGUGUAGAUUGGGGAAUAACAUAACAUAACAAACAGAAAGGAAGCGAGUCAUAUUGCAUAUAUAUCGUGUUACUAUUCUCUACUAUAUAUAUAUAUACACUGCCCUGCCAUUCCAAUUUCAAACUUCGAAACCAAUCUAACCUCAAGACACGUCCUUAAUUCUACGACACACAUUGACCACUCCUCCCCAUGCCAAUCAAGAAUGCCCAGGAGUCUUAUUUCGUGAAAACUUUCAUAUUUUCAGUUUUCUUGAGUAUAAUAUCAUUUUUUUCGUGAUUUUGUUUCUUUUGUUUUUCCAGUUUUAUUGUAAUGUUUGUU
rnacentral:lncRNA from 1 species